rnacentral:rRNA from 1 species
AGCGAACGCUGGCGGCAGGCCUAACACAUGCAAGUCGAACGAAGUCUUCGGACUUAGUGGCGGACGGGUGAGUAACACGUGGGAACGUGCCUUUAGGUUCGGAAUAACUCAGGGAAACUUGUGCUAAUACCGAAUGUGCCCUUCGGGGGAAAGAUUUAUCGCCUUUAGAGCGGCCCGCGUCUGAUUAGCUAGUUGGUGAGGUAAAGGCUCACCAAGGCUACGAUCAGUAGCUGGUCUGAGAGGAUGACCAGCCACAUUGGGACUGAGACACGGCCCAAACUCCUACGGGAGGCAGCAGUGGGGAAUCUUGCGUAAUGGGCGAAAGCCUGACGCAGCCAUGCCGCGUGGAUGAUGAAGGUCUUAGGAUUGUAAAAUACUUUCACCGGGGAAGAUAAUGACGGUACCCGGAGAAGAAGCCCCGGCUAACUUCGUGCCAGCAGCCGCAGUAAGAC